rnacentral:rRNA from 1 species
AACGAACGCUGGCGGCAUGCCUAACACAUGCAAGUCGAACGAGACCUUCGGGCCUAGUGGCGCACGGGUGCGUAACGCGUGGGAACCUGCCUUUAGGUUCGGAAUAACUCCCCGAAAGGGGUGCUAAUACCGGAUAAUGUCUUCGGACCAAAGUUUUAUCGCCUUUGGAUGGGCUCGCGUUGGAUUACCUAGUUGGUAGGGUAAAAGCCUACCAAGGCGACGAUCCAUAGCUGGUCUGAGAGGAUGAUCAGCCACGCUGGGGCUGAGACACGGCCCAGACUGCUACGGAAGGGUGCAGUGGAGAAUAUUGGACGAUGGGCGAAAGCCUGGUCCAGCAGUGCCGCGUGAGAGAUGAAGGCCUUAGGGUUGUAAAGCUCUUUUAGCCGGGAUGAUAAUGACGGUACCGGGAGAAUAAGCUCCGGCUAACUCCGUG